rnacentral:tRNA from 1 species
UGCCUGAUCGUCUAAUGGUAGGACAGUGGUUUCUGGAACCAUUAAUCGGGGUUCGAAUCCCUGUCGGGCAGCCA